UGAGAACUGAAUUCCAUGGGCUGGUUGCACACUUUAUUUCUCAGUCCAUAGUAGACAGUUCUCCA
rnacentral:pre_miRNA from 1 species